rnacentral:rRNA from 1 species
GACGAACGCUGGCGGCGUGCUUAACACAUGCAAGUCGAACGGAAAGGCCCUGCUUUUGUGGGGUGCUCGAGUGGCGAACGGGUGAGUAACACGUGAGUAACCUGCCCUUGACUUUGGGAUAACUUCAGGAAACUGGGGCUAAUACCGGAUAGGAGCUCCUGCUGCAUGGUGGGGGUUGGAAAGUUUCGGCGGUUGGGGAUGGACUCGCGGCUUAUCAGCUUGUUGGUGGGGUAGUGGCUUACCAAGGCUUUGACGGGUAGCCGGCCUGAGAGGGUGACCGGCCACAUUGGGACUGAAAUACGGCCCAGACUCCUACGGGAGGCAGCAGUGGGGAAUAUUGCACAAUGGGCGGAAGCCUAAUGCAGCAACGCCGCGUGCGGGAUGACGGCCUUCGGGUUGUAAACCGCUUUCGCCUGUGACGAAGCGUGAGUGACGGUAAUGGGUAAAGAAGCACCGGCUAACUACGUG